GAGGCAUUCAGUAAUGGGCUACUUGGGCUAGACCCUCUCAGCUAAAGGAUAGGCCUAGUCCAGUAAAAAAUGAAAAAGGAAAUAGAGGCAAUUUUCCAAGUAAUUCAGGAGAAAAGCACUUUCAUCUCAACUCUCAAGGGCUUGCUACAUAGACCAGAACUACACCAACACGCUUUGAUGCUAAAGCAGAAUUUGGUACAAGGUGGCUGUAAGUCAGAUCUCCUGCUAAUUGUGUGAAACUAUUUAUGUUUAUUCAUCCAAGCAGCUGGUCUUUUGAGAGAGAUGCAACAGACCAAAGAACAAAGACAGAAGCUCCAGAAGCCAUGUUAGGAGAGGAAACUGAGGGCUGAAGAAGUUAUCUCCCACCACCACCACCAACA